AAAGGUGUAAUUUAUUACAUUUGUGUUGAAUUUGGAAUAAAAACUACUUUUAGUCUUCAUCUAUUUUGUUGCUUUAUCUGCCAUAUAAUAAAGAAGACACCAAUUGCACGAUUCCGUAGCGUAUUGCACCAUACACAACGUAUUAUGUAAUCGUGGCACAAAUCAGUGGCUCCGUUCUCAAAAUUUCAGUCAACCUCCGUUUUCCCCCCUUUUUCUACGUCUCGUAAUGAUCGAUCAAAUCAUAUUUCCCACACGAAUUGAAUGUAAUAAACACAUUGAGAUAACAAGAAACCUUUUAACUAAUCCUCGUCGUCAGUUUCGCCAUAGAAAUGCUGAAAUAUUUCCAUAUUUACAGCUUCGUUUCCGAUUUCCGCCAUUUGCAUUUGUCAAAAAUAUUUGUUUUUAUUUUCCUUCAAUUUUCCUUCUACUGCAUGAUUUUACAAUAAAAAUUGCCGGGAUUUCAAGCGCAAAUGAGACCUUGCAUGUCCUCGAUUCAUACAAGGAAAAAUUAGAGAGGAC
rnacentral:lncRNA from 1 species